GUGGUGACAAAUACUAAUCUGAACUAGACCACAGUCGCAUGGAGUCAGAUGGAGGACUUGGCCUUGUAUCAAACCUUAAAGCAGAGGGGAAGGGUGGAAAUGCUGCCUUGUAAAUAGCAAGCCACCCAGUGCGUAAGCCCUGAAAACAUAUGUCAUCUCUCAUAUGGAAAUGCCAGUGAAAUCAUACAGCUCUUUCCCCCCACUGAAAGGAAUGCCCUAGUCUGAAGCAAGGGUACGUUCUGGAGCAUCUGCCUGGCUGAGUGGGCAGCGGUGCUUUCUGUUAACCUCUAUCCUGGGACUCCAACCACAUCAGAGGCUGAGCUAGUUUUGCAAUUAAGAUAAUCCAUAUGGAGGCCUGAGGAGCUACUCAUGAGAGGACAGCACACUUUCUUGGUCAUCUCUGACUAGCUCUCUUGCAUCUUCAUGGUGAUCUCAGUGCUUCUAAUUCCAUUUGGAAAUUUCUGGACUUGUUCUAAGAACUACUCGUGCAGGACAGCUCAGUUAUAUCUGUGAGCCAUAACUGAAUGUCUCUUAUCUCUGAAGCUAUUUCCAAGAUAG